GGGUCAGUAGGCUGUUCGUGCCACCGGUACGUACUGGUCUCACUGAUUCCUCCUUCCUGAAGAACCGUAAUGCCAUUAAUUUGGUGUUGCGGGGAAACAGGACUGUUACAUUGAAAAAAUUAGAGUGUUUAAAGCAAGCUAACGCUUGAAUACAUUAUCAUGGAAUAAUGAAAUAGGACGAUCGAUCCUAUUUUGUUGGUUUCUAGGAUUGACGUAAUGAUUAAUAGGGAUAGAUCGG
rnacentral:rRNA from 1 species